AGCAGCAGCCACGGUAAUACGGAGGGUGCAAGCGUUAAUCGGAAUUACUGGGCGUAAAGCGCACGCAGGCGGUCUGUUAAGUCAGAUGUGAAAUCCCCGGGCUCAACCCGGGAACUGCAUUUGAAACUGGCAGGCUGGAGUCUCGUAGAGGGGGGUAGAAUUCCAGGUGUAGCGGUGAAAUGCGUAGAGAUCUGGAGGAAUACCGGUGGCGAAGGCGGCCCCCUGGACAAAGACUGACGCUCAGGUGCGAAAGCGUGGGGAGCAAACAGGAUUAGAUACCCGCGUAGUCCCUGUCUCUUAUAC
rnacentral:rRNA from 1 species